rnacentral:rRNA from 1 species
UAUACGACCGUACCGCAAACCGACACUGGUGCGCGAGAUGAGUAUUCUAAGGCGCUUGAGAGAACUCAGGAGAAGGAACUCGGCAAAUUGACACCGUAACUUCGGAAGAAGGUGUGCCCUAUUAGUGUGUAGUGAACAACGAAGCAUGAACGGGUUGCAAAAAAUCGGUGGCUGCGACUGUUUAUUAAAAACACAGCACUCUGCAAACACGAAAGUGGACGUAUAGGGUGUGACGCCUGCCCGGUGCUGGAAGAUUAAAUGAUGGGGUGCAAGCUCUUGAUUGAAGUCCCAGUAAACGGCGGCCGUAACAAUAACGGUCCUAAGGUAGCGAAAUUCCUCGUCGGGUAAGUUCCGACCUGCACGAAUGGCGUAACGAUGGCCACACUGUCUCCUCCUGAGACUCAGCGAAGUUGAAAUGUUUGUGAUGAUGCAAUCUCCCCGCGGAAAGACGGAAAGACCCCAUGAACCUUUACUGUAGCUUUGUAUUGGACUUUGAACAGAUCUGUGUAGGAUAGGUGGGAGGCUUUGAAGCAGGGUCGCUAGAUCUUGUGGAGCCAACGUUGAAAUACCACCCUGGUGUGUUUGAGGUUCUAACCUAGGUCCAUUAUCUGGAUCGGGGACAGCGCAUGGUAGGCAGUUUGACUGGGGCGGUCUCCUCCCAAAGCGUAACGGAGGAGUUCGAAGGUACGCUAGUUACGGUCGGACAUCGUGACGAUAGUGCAAUGGCAUAAGCGUGCUUAACUGCGAGACUGACAAGUCGAGCAGAUGCGAAAGCAGGACAUAGUGAUCCGGUGGUUCUGUAUGGAAGGGCCAUCGCUCAACGGAUAAAAGGUACUCUGGGGAUAACAGGCUGAUACCGCCCAAGAGUUCAUAUCGACGGCGGUGUUUGGCACCUCGAUGUCGGCUCAUCUCAUCCUGGGGCUGUAGCCGGUCCCAAGGGUAUGGCUGUUCGCCAUUUAAAGAGGUACGUGAGCUGGGUUUAAAACGUCGUGAGACAGUUUGGUCCCUAUCUUCCGUGGGCGCUGCAGAUUUGAGGAAGCCUGCUCCUAGUACGAGAGGACCGGAGUGGACACACCUCUGGUGUAUCGGUUGUCACGCCAGUGGCAUUGCCGAGUAGCUAAGUGUGGAAGGGAUAACCGCUGAAAGCAUCUAAGCGGGAAACUCGUUUCAAGAUGAGAUCUGCCGGGGCCUUGAGCCCCCUAAAGAGUCGUUCAAGACCAGGACGUUGAUAGGUCAGGUGUGGAAGCCAA